rnacentral:rRNA from 1 species
UACGUAGGGGGCAAGCGUUACUCGGAUUUAUUGGGCGUAAAGAGAAUUAAGGCGGUCAUGUAAGUCAGUGGUGAAAUCCCCCGGCUCAACUGGGGAAUUGCCUUUGAUACUGCGUGACUUGAGGACAGGAGAGGAAGGCGGAAUUCCCGGUGUAGCGGUGGAAUGCGUAGAUAUCGGGAGGAACACCUGAGGCGAAGGCGGCUUUCUGGACUGGUCCUGACGCUGAUAUUCGAAAGCUAGGGGAGCAAACAGGAUUAGAUACCCUGGUAGUCCUAGCUGUAAACGAUGGAUACUAGAUCUUGCAUGAUUUUGCUUGGUCGAAGCUAACGCGUUAAGUAUCCCGCCUGGGGAGUACGGUCGCAAGGCUGAA